rnacentral:lncRNA from 1 species
UUUAUUCCUUGGAGUCUUGAAUGUGAAAAGGGGUAAAUUAAUCUAUGUUCAUAGGUGUUCGUUAGAGAAGCUUGUGAAUAAUAUAGUGAUAUUUAAUCAGGGUUGGAUUAAAUUGGUAAUUGAAUUAAUAGAUUGAAUGCAUGUGUUUGAGUAACGAUAGUACAUCCCUAGGGCCAGAGUUUUUUUUUAUUAUUAUUUGAGUUUUUAUUCUGUUUUAUUUUGUUUUGUUUGGAUUUUAGUUUUAUUUUUCGUUCUUUUGGGAGUUUGCCUGGAUACUAUUAGAGUUUACUCGGGAUUACUUGAGUGAUUUUAUAAUAGUCUUGGAUACGAUACUCGACUUGUGUUUCUGUGCUACGAUUGCACUGUUUAGUUGCAGUUUUUGUUGCUAUAAAAAUAGUGAUCAUUAGUGUAUGUUUGAUAGACCUUAUAAAUUUAGAUAAUUAAAUAAUAUGAAAUAUUUAUAUGUUUGGUAU